GUGCUGAGAUCACACAUUUUGCUUCUUUAGAAGAACCAAGCCCAUAUGACUCAGGCUGAAUUCAUCCCUAAGCGCAUUUCUCUGGGAGUGAGUCCUACUAAAUUCAACAUUACUAGAGUUUCCUGAAUAGACAUACCUAGGAUUAGGCUGUUUGGGCUUUUGCGGACUUUGCUCGCUUUUUAGACUAUUUGCUACUUGCUCGUUCAUUUGCACUGUUCGUUCAUCUUAUUCUCUGAAUUGCCUUCACUUUCCCAUAGUGACAUCACGGCAUAACAACAUCUGAUUGGCUACGUAGUUUUUGCAAAAUCAAAUCAUUCAGUGCAAGACCCCAGAUUCAGUGGGAUCACUCUUGCAACUAAUCCAGGAAGGAGAAGGAAGGAAAGUAGAAGCCAAGUGAAACAAGGGUGAAUGUUGAAGAUUGGAAAAAAAAUGAAUCUCAGUAUUCAUGGGACUUACUUCUGAGUAGACAGGUUUAUGAAUGUGCUGUAAAACUGCUACAGUAAACCUCAACAUUGAAACCAAAGAAUAUUAAUCAGAGCUCUGCUAUUUAUUGUUCCCACCUGGCUUCUCCCAUCUCCACAUCUUUACAAAGAUCUGUCUUGGAGUUCAUGGUCCAUCAUCUAUCUUUCAGUUUUCUACAGUGGGAGAGCCUUUCCAGUCUUACUACCUUUUAGUAAAUAUAAAUGGAGAGGUAGAGUUUAAAUGAAGCCCUGUUAAUGAACUCUUAACAACCCACUCACAUCAGCAUGCACUCUCUCUGUUUUCCUUUUAAAGCUGGGAAUCUGUAUAGAUGUCGCUGAAACUUUCUCAUGACGAGAGGAAAUUAUCUCAAUUUUUACUUGUGAUGAUUUUGUGGGUAGCUGAGAUAUACGAGGGACAGUCAACGUGGAGUCCUCCAGAAGUUGUUGCUGAAUUUUGGCUCCCACAAUCUCUGGUUGAGCUGACUGGAAUUUUAGUCCUGCAGUUUCUGAAGGCCAACAUCUUGGCAAACCUCCUGAGCUACAGGAGAACGAUGUGAUUCACAC